CAGUAGGGAAUCUUCGGCAAUGGACGAAAGUCUGACCGAGCAACGCCGCGUGAGUGAAGAAGGUUUUCGGAUCGUAAAACUCUGUUGUUAGAGAAGAACAAGGAUGAGAAGAGAAUGUUCAUCCCUUGACGGUAUCUAACCAGAAAGCCACGGCUAACUACGUGCCAGCAGCCGCGGUAAUACGUAGGUGGCAAGCGUUGUCCGGAUUUAUUGGGCGUAAAGCGAGCGCAGGCGGUUCUUUAAGUCUGAUGUGAAAGCCCCCGGCUCAACCGGGGAGGGUCAUUGGAAACUGGGGAACUUGAGUGCAGAAGAGGAGAGUGGAAUUCCAUGUGUAGCGGUGAAAUGCGUAGAUAUAUGGAGGAACACCAGUGGCGAAGGCGGCUCUCUGGUCUGUAACUGACGCUGAGGCUCGAAAGCGUGGGGAGCAAACAGGAUUAGAUACCCUGGUAGUCCACGCCGUAAACGAUGAGUGCUAAGUGUUGGAGGGUUUCCGCCCUUCAGUGCUGCAGCUAACGCAUAAGCACUCCGCCUGGG
rnacentral:rRNA from 1 species